rnacentral:rRNA from 1 species
CCUACGGGAGGCAGCAGUGAGGAAUAUUGCGCAAUGGGCGAAAGCCUGACGCAGCGACGCCGCGUGGGGGAUGAAGGUCUUCGGAUUGUAAACCCCUUUCGGGAGGGAAGAUGGGACGGGUAACCGUCCGGACGGUACCUCCAGAAGCAGCCACGGCUAACUUCGUGCCAGCAGCCGCGGUAAUACGAAGGUGGCGAGCGUUGUUCGGAUUUACUGGGCGUACAGGGAGCGUAGGCGGUUGGGUAAGCCCUUCGGGAAAUCUCCCGGCUUAACC